GGGCGGAUAGUUCAGUUGGUUAGAACGCCUCGUUUACACCGAGGAGGUCAUAGGUUCAAGUCCUAUUCCGCCUACCA
rnacentral:tRNA from 2 species